rnacentral:misc_RNA from 1 species
AGUCAAAUAAACGUUCAGGCAGCACCCUAAAAGGACAGGUCAAAUUGGAGUAACCUGUACCCUCUGUUGAGUCAAUCUAAAAGAAUCCUCAACAACCCAUAACAGCACAAUUGUAAACAAACACACCAACAUGCUCCUUCACACCGAGAAUCUUCCAAUCCAAAGUUCCAUUAUUGACUCCAGAUUUUGGACACCAAGAGUUAAGCACAACAGCUUCACCUUCUGGGCCCCUUUGCCCACCCACAACUAGAA